rnacentral:rRNA from 2 species
GGACGGGUGAGUAAUGCCUAGGAAUCUGCCUGGUAGUGGGGGACAACGUUUCGAAAGGAACGCUAAUACCGCAUACGUCCUACGGGAGAAAGCAGGGGACCUUCGGGCCUUGCGCUAUCAGAUGAGCCUAGGUCGGAUUAGCUAGUUGGUGAGGUAAUGGCUCACCAAGGCGACGAUCCGUAACUGGUCUGAGAGGAUGAUCAGUCACACUGGAACUGAGACACGGUCCAGACUCCUACGGGAGGCAGCAGUGGGGAAUAUUGGACAAUGGGCGAAAGCCUGAUCCAGCCAUGCCGCGUGUGUGAAGAAGGUCUUCGGAUUGUAAAGCACUUUAAGUUGGGAGGAAGGGCAGUAACUUAAUACGUUGCUGUUUUGACGUUACCGACAGAAUAAGCACCGGCUAACUCUGUGCCAGCAGCCGCGGUAAUACAGAGGGUGCAAGCGUUAAUCGGAAUUACUGGGCGUAAAGCGCGCGUAGGUGGUUUGUUAAGUUGGAUGUGAAAUCCCCGGGCUCAACCUGGGAACUGCAUUCAAAACUGACAAGCUAGAGUAUGGUAGAGGGUGGGUGGAAUUUCCUGUGUAGCGGUGAAAUGCGUAGAUAUAGGAAGGAACACCAGUGGCGAAGGCGACCACCUGGACUGAUACUGACACUGAGGUGCGAAAGCGUGGGAGCAAACAGGAUUAGAUACCCUGGUAGUCCACGCCGUAAACGAUGUCAACUAGCCGUUGGGAGCCUUGAGCUCUUAGUGGCGCAGCUAACGCAUUAAGUUGACCGCCUGGGGAGUACGGCCGCAAGGUUAAAACUCAAAUGAAUUGACGGGGGCCCGCACAAGCGGUGGAGCAUGUGGUUUAAUUCGAAGCAACGCGAAGAACCUUACCAGGCCUUGACAUCCAAUGAACUUUCCAGAGAUGGAUUGGUGCCUUCGGGAACAUUGAGACAGGUGCUGCAUGGCUGUCGUCAGCUCGUGUCGUGAGAUGUUGGGUUAAGUCCCGUAACGAGCGCAACCCUUGUCCUUAGUUACCAGCACGUAAUGGUGGGCACUCUAAGGAGACUGCCGGUGACAAACCGGAGGAAGGUGGGGAUGACGUCAAGUCAUCAUGGCCCUUACGGCCUGGGCUACACACGUGCUACAAUGGUCGGUACAAAGGGUUGCCAAGCCGCGAGGUGGAGCUAAUCCCAUAAAACCGAUCGUAGUCCGGAUCGCAGUCUGCAACUCGACUGCGUGAAGUCGGAAUCGCUAGUAAUCGCGAAUCAGAAUGUCGCGGUGAAUACGUUCCCGGGCCUUGUACACACCGCCCGUCACACCAUGGGAGUGGGUUGCACCAGAAGUAGCUAGUCUAACCU